rnacentral:rRNA from 1 species
AUACCGUAUAUAUCUCAGGAUCAAAGAUUAUCCCUGAGGGAUCGGCCCGCGUCUGAUUAGCUAGUUGGUGAGGUAAUGGCUCACCAAGGCGACGAUCAGUAGCUGGUCUUAGAGGAUGAUCAGCCACACUGGAACUGAGACACGGUCCAGACUCCUACGGGAGGCAGCAGUGAGGAAUCUUGGACAAUGGGCGCAAGCCUGAUCCAGCCACGCCGCGUGAGUGACGAAGGCCUUAGGGUUGUAAAGCUCUUUUGGCGGGGAUGAUAAUGACCGUACCCGCAGAAUAAGCCACGGCUAAAUUCGUGCCAGCAGCCGCGGUAAUACGAAUGUGGCAAGCGUUGUUCGGAAUCACUGGGCGUAAAGAGUACGUAGGCGGUUUGAUAAGUCAGGAGUGAAAUCCCAGGGCUCAACCCUGGAACUGCUUUUGAAACUAUCAGACUAGAAGCUCGGAGAGGUUGGCGGAAUUCUCAGUGUAGAGGUGAAAUUCGCAGAUAUUGAGAGGAACACCAGUGGCGUAAGCGGCCAACUGGACGAGUAUUGACGCUGAGGUACGAAAGCGUGGGGAUCAAACAGGAUUAGAUACCCUGGUAGUCCACGCCAUAAACGAUGUGUGCUAGCUGGUGGGUAGCUUAGCUAUUCGCUGGCGCAGCUAACGCAUUAAGCACA